AGUCAGCCAGGUGGUCGCUGUGUGUUUGUGAUGAACACAGAGAGGAAAGUCCGAGCAUCAAAAGAACAGAGUGCCAGUUAACGGCUGGUGAAGGUGACUUCAAGGAUAGUGCAACAGAAAUAGACUUCUGGGCAAAGUGCUCAGUAAAGGUGGAAAGGUAGGGUAAGAGCCUACCGGAUGAUUGGUAACAAUCAUUGCUCUGUAAACCCCACUCGAUGCAAGGUUAAGUCUUUCGCACAUGUGCGUUCUUUCACGCGAAAGCAAAAAUACCGCUGGAACUUGUUGGCGACAACAAGUCUGGAAAGAUGACUGCCAAAUACAGAACUCGGCUUAUAGACUGGCUG
rnacentral:RNase_P_RNA from 1 species